GUGCUUGCUUUGCCACACAUACACUAAAAUUGGAACAAUACAGAGAUUAGCAUGAGCCCUGCACAAGUAUGACACACAAAUUCUUGAAGCAUUCCAUAUUUUU
rnacentral:snRNA from 1 species